rnacentral:rRNA from 1 species
CGGGACGGGUGAGUAACGCGUGGAUAACCUGCCUCACACAGGGGGACAACAGCCGGAAACGGCUGCUAAUACCGCAUAACACAAGUAAUUCGCAUGAAUAACUUGCCAAAGAUUUUAUCGGUGCGAGAUGGAUCCGCGUCUGAUUAGCCAGUUGGCGGGGUAACGGCCCACCAAAGCGACGAUCAGUAGCCGACCUGAGAGGGUGACCGGCCACAUUGGGACUGAGACACGGCCCAA